UACGUAGGGUGCGAGCGUUAAUCGGAAUUACUGGGCGUAAAGCGUGCGCAGGCGGUUUUGUAAGCCAGAUGUGAAAUCCCCGGGCUUAACCUGGGAAUGGCAUUUGGGACUGCAAGGCUUGAGUGCGGCAGAGGAGACUGGAAUUCCUGGUGCAGCAGUGAAAUGCGUAGAUAUCAGGAGGAACACCGAUGGCGAAGGCAGGUCUCUGGGCUGACACUGACGCUCAUGCACGAAAGCGUGGGGAGCAAACAGG
rnacentral:rRNA from 1 species